CAAAAGCUGACUAUGCAGUUGUAAGCGGACGGCGGUGCAAAAAAAAAAUAAACGAAUUUCAUAAAAACGGUAAAAAAUUCAAUCAACACGUGUGGUAACUAACUCAGAGAAGCGAUUUUUAAAAAUUUAAUAUGUGAAAAUGUAAAAUAUAUUUGAGAUUUUUUGUUAAAAAGAAGUAGAACAAGUACGAACUUUCCUAAAUCAAGAACCUAAUCACUUGAUUGCAGACUUUACUUAGAACUGCUUUAAUUAAAACAUUAAAUUGUGUCAAUAAAUCUGCUCCAGCAUAUUUGAGUGUGAAAGCUAAAUUGAAGAAUGCAACAACUACUUAGCAAGUCGCAACCCUACAAUUCUACAAAAAGAAUGGGCGCAACACAAGCAAAAGACAAAUUUAGAAGCACAAAAAGAAAGUCAUGAAAGCAAAAGCAACAUUCCAGCGCACUGUCAAAUUGGGUCAAAAGUGCAUAGGCAUAGCAGACGCAGCAAACACUCCAAGCAGCGCAUAGCUGGAAAGCGACACACGAACACACACACUUGUGCCUUGCAUAGGGAAAAAGGACAUAAUAGGAUGGCAAAAGAAAGGAAUUCAAGUAGAGUGGCAGUUGAGCUACAGCAAAGGCGAGCAGAUAGCAGCAGCCUCAGCUGAAUGCAUGCGUAGAGACGCAAGAAGUGAAGAAUCAACAGAAGCGGCAACAAAGAAAAAACAACGCGAUUUGGGUCGUCUUGCAAUGCCUUUGCUGCGCCGUGCCGUCUUAAGUGCAGCUGGCGAGGACAAACACCAGCAGCAGGCGACAGAAACAAAGACAAAUGGCGGCGACAACGGCAAUAUGGACAAUAGAGUAGUGGCAAGAACAAAAACAAACAGCGCGAGCCAACAACAAUAACACUGCAGUUAGUACGAAAAGCGUUUGCGAUGCGGCAACUAACUUCUCACUGCAUUCUGUGUGCCUUAUAGAAUAGUCAUCUCAUUGCAAUAAUUUUCGAAUAUAAGAGGAAGUUCUGUCAACAGAUUGUUAUGUGGUUAUGUGAGAAAUACUUACAAAAUCUAUUAUUAAAAAUGACGUAAUAUAAUAAAAUGUUUUUGCAAAACUCAA